CGACCACUAUCCAUACUCCCUCC
rnacentral:miRNA from 1 species